AGCCAUGGCUGUCCUGGAACUCCCUCUGUAGACCAGGUUGGCCCUGAACUCAGAGGCAGGUGGAUCUUUGUGAGUUCGAGGCCAGCCUGGUCUACAGAGCGAGAUCCAGGAAAAGGCGCAAAGCUACACAGAGAAACCCUGUCUCAAAAAACC